AAUCUUAUGACGAAAAGUCAACUUUUGUCCCAGUUUUGGUGAAUUGAUGACAUUUUUAUGUCAGACUCCAUCAAGGAUAAUCUGCUCAGAAUAGGAAAUAAAAUGGUGAACUGGAACCACUUGGCAGAGUGAUGUGGGAGAAAACCCUGAAGGGAAGAGUGGCCCAAGAAAGCCAGUUGGCAUUCAGAGACCAUCUCUUCCAAGCCUAGAAGCAGUACAUCCUGAGAAAAAGGAAGGCAGCCACACCACCCAAGUUGCAGAUGGCAGUGAUAAGAACUUGGAGAAUGUAGACUUACAUGCUGUAAGUGAAGGUGAG